rnacentral:lncRNA from 1 species
AAAGCCCAGUUUCCACACUGGCCACCAAGCCCAAUUUCCAUAUUGGCCCCUAAGGCCCAGUUUCCACACUGGCCACCAAGCCCAAUUUCCAUAUUGGCCCCUUUAGCCCAGUUUCACACUGGCUCCUAAGCUCAGUUUCACCUGGUCCAUAAGCCCAGCUUGCCUGGCCCAUAAGCCCAGUUUUGUCUGGCACCUAAAGCCCAGCUCGCCUGGCAUCUCAGGUUCAAGUUUUUCUUUUUGGUUAAUGGCCCUCUGCUUGGCAAUGGUCAUUUGGUCAUGACUUAUUUCAUUCGCUUUCUUUCGUAUUUGAAACCCAGACGAAAUUAGUGUUUCCAUCUUUACUUAACUUUUACUCAGAUAAUACGAAAAUGUCACAUUUUCAUAUUAUCCAGUAAAAUCUAAGUAAAGAGGGGCAGC